GAUGAACGCUAGCGACAGGCCUAACACAUGCAAGUCGAGGGGCAGCGCGUGGUAGCAAUACCAUGGCGGCGACCGGCGCACGGGUGCGUAACGCGUAUGCAACCUGGCCCCCACGGGGGGAUAGCCCGCCGAAAGGCGGAUUAAUACCCCGUAUGCCUGGCGGCCCGCAUGGGCUUUCAGGGAAAGUGGCGACACGGUGGGGGAUGGGCAUGCGUCCCAUUAGCUUGUUGGCGGUGCAACGGACCACCAAGGCGACGAUGGGUAGGGGUUCUGAGAGGAAGGCCCCCCACACUGGUACUGAGACAGGGACCAGACUCCUACGGGAGGCAGCAGUGAGGAAUAUUGGUCAAUGGGCGGAAGCCUGAACCAGCCAAGUCGCGUGCAGGAGGAAGGCCCUACGGGUCGCAGACUGCUUUUAUGCGGGGAUAGCGGGGCCGACGUGUCGGCUUAUGAAGGUACCGCAUGAAUAAGGAUCGGCUAACUCCGUGCCAGCAGCCGCGGUAAUACGGAGGAUUCGAGCGUUAUCCGGAUUCAUUGGGUUUAAAGGGUGCGCAGGCGGCACAUCAAGUCAGCGGUCAAACUGCGGCGCUCAACGCCGUAUCGCCGUUGAAACUGAUGAGCUUGAGUGCGUGCGAGGGAGGCGGAAUGCGCAGUGUAGCGGUGAAAUGCAUAGAUAUUACUCAGAACACCGAUUGCGAAGGCAUCUCACGAAUCCGACACUGACGCUGAGGCACGAAAGCGUGGGGAUCAAACAGGAUUAGAUACCCUGGUAGUCCACGCAGUAAACGAUGAUGACUAACUGUCGGCGAUAAACAGUCGGUGGCCAAGCGAAAGCGAUAAGUCAUCCACCUGGGGAGUACGUUCGCAAGAAUGAAACUCAAAGGAAUUGACGGGGGCCCGCACAAGCGGAGGAACAUGUGGUUUAAUUCGAUGAUACGCGAGGAACCUUACCCGGGCUUGAAUUGCAGCGGAAGGAAGCAGAGAUGCUGACGCCCUCGGGGCCGCUGUGAAGGUGCUGCAUGGUUGUCGUCAGCUCGUGCCGUGAGGUGUCGGCUUAAGUGCCAUAACGAGCGCAACCCCUCUCUUCAGUUGCCAUCGGUUCGAGCCGGGCACUCUGGAGACACUGCCGCCGCAAGGCGUGAGGAAGGUGGGGACGACGUCAAAUCAGCACGGCCCUUACGUCCGGGGCUACACACGUGUUACAAUGGGUGGUACAGAGAGCUGGGCUUCCGCAAGGCAGCCCGAAUCAAGAAAUCCAUCCUCAGUUCGGAUUGGGGUCUGCAACCCGACCCCAUGAAGCUGGAUUCGCUAGUAAUCGCGCAUCAGCCAUGGCGCGGUGAAUACGUUCCCGGGCCU
rnacentral:rRNA from 1 species